ACUCAUGAUCUGUAUGUUUCACAGAGGAAUCUGGAAAAUUUUAUUUCUUUCUUUCCAGCUCUCUAAAAGUUCUGCCUCCACUUUUGCUUCUCCAUUUCCCACUUCUCUUGGCAUUUUAUUUUGCAGAGCUAGUUAGCUUAAGACUAAGGGUGCAGAUCUAGCUAUGUGGAAUGAACUCAUUAUAUGAAAUAAACUCUAAACUAGGGGUGAAAUUGCCUGGAUUUUAGUUCUUGCUCUACCCAAAAUAGCUUUAUGAUCUUAAGCUGUCCCUUUACCUUUUCUGUAUUUUCCUUUCCUCACUUCUAAAAUCAAGCAUGCUAGGUAAUCUCUAAGUUCCCUCUUUGCUACAGGAUUUUUAUAAAGCUGUAUAAUCCUGAACCCACUUAAGGGACUCUUAAAACUUGCCCAAAUGAAGUCUAUUCAAACAGACCUGAAUUUGAUAUGGGUGAAAAUCAUCAACUAUCUGGGCUAUCAAAGCAAUGGCCUUUGUCUUAGCAAAACAGCCUAAUGGGUCAUCUCCUCUGAGGGUCCUUUACGUUAAACAGGUUCAAAAAUUAUAGAGAAGAAAAGAAAAUAGCUUGCAUAGUCUUUUUUCAUCUAGAUCAACUGUUUCUUGCAGAAAAAGAGAAAUGACUUUCUUUUCUUUACAAUAAUUUCUACACCUCAAGCUGUAUUUUAACACAAACCUCUAGGCUCCUGGUGGAGGAAACAUAUACGGCAGUAUAUUGGAGGAGUUUAAAUGUCAGAUAUAUUCAAUGCUUUCUAAGCAAUAGCUUCAGUAUAAGUGGGGAAAAAAAAGACAGCCAGGGACUGAAUUUGGGGCAAAGAUUAAAGGCUAUUUGUGUGAAGAAGGGGAAAAAUGAUGACAUGAUGGGUUGGGAAACAAAAAUAAUCUGAAAGUAUAGAUGUUUAAAUUUCAAUGACAUAAAUUUCAAGCUAUUCUUGACACAUUCUUUAAGGUCUUUAUUUGUAAUUCUACUUCAAGAGAAAGGGAUUAAAAGUAUUCAAUUUUGGUUUGUGAGGAGACAUUGCUAAAAUUCCAUUUCUGAAUAAGGAAUGAGUAUACUAAGUACAGAUAUUUGGGCCCUGAAUACUGUAAAGAAGUCUUUGAAAAUGUGUUCGUGGGCCAUGUUGGUCAGUGACAUAUUGAAGACUAUAUUUUGCAGGUGUUAUUUCAAGAGUUCUGUCACCCCUGUUUAAACCCAUUUAGAAUGAAGAACAGAGAAAUUAAAUUCAAAAGCUAGUCUUUUGUUUUAGUAAUUUAUGUAGCCUAAUAAAGGAGUUCUUACAAGUGAAUUUUUAAAGCUUUUUGCAGAAAAAAAUAUAGAGAUUCUUCAAUUUGGAGAGAGAGACACAGAGAGAGAGAGAGUCGGCAGGGAGGACUGUUGCAGAGAAGAGAUGACAAAUGGCAGAAAGUGCUUGUGCAUGUCUUUAUCUGGGUGAAAGACUUAUGUUUAAGCAGCAGUGUGCUUGUUACCAAGAAGCCUCUGAAAGGCAUGGCAACAUGUGCCUUGACAACAUACUCACUGAUGGCAGCAGCAGCCCAUCUGGAGUGGCCCCUGAAAAGAUGCCAGGAGAAAUUCAAGCCAGCUGCAGAAAUUUGCUUGAGUAGCAAGGAGCCCAAUGUUAAUCCUCAAGACCAUAGGGAAAAUGUCUCCAGGCCAUGUCAGAGACCUUCAUGGCAGCCCCUCCCACCAUAGGCCCAGAGGCCCAGGAGGAAAAAGUGGUUUCAUGGGCCAGGUCCAGGGUCCUUGUGCUGUGUGCAGCCUUAGGACUUGGUGCCCUGUGUCCCAGCCAUUCCAGCCGUGGCUGAAGGGGCCAAUGUAGAGCUCAGGCCAUGGCUUCAGAGGGUGGAAGCCCCAAACCUUGACAGCUUCCACGUGGUGUUGAGCCUUAGGUUGCACAGAAGUCAAGAAUUGAGGUUUGGGAAACUCCAACUGGAUUUCAGAAAAUGUAUGGAUGCCCAGGCAAAAGUUUGCUGCAGGGGCAGGGCCCUCAUGGAGAACCUUUGCUAGAGCAAACUGGAAGGAAGGAAAAUGUGGGUUUGGAGCCCCCACACAGAGUUCCUAGUGGGCACUGCCUAGUGCAGCUAUGAGAAGAGGGCCACCAUCUUUCAGACCCCAGAAUGGUAGAUCCACUGACAGCUUGCACUGUGUUGCUGGAAAAGCUGCAGACACUCAAUGCCAGCCUGUGAAAGCAGCUGGGUGAGGGCUGAAUCCUACAAAGCCAUAGGGGCAGAGCUGCCCAAGACCAUGGGAACCCAUCUCUUGCAUCAGUGUGAUGUGGCUGUGAGACCUGGAGUCAAAGGAGAUCAUUUUGGAGCUUUAAAAUUUGACUGCCUCACUGAACUUCAGACUUGCAUGGGCCCUAUAACCCCUUUGUUUUGGCCUAUCUCUCUUUCGGAAUGGCUGUAUUUACCCAAUACCUGUACUUCCAUUGUAUCUAGGAAGUAACUAGCUUUCUUUUGAUUUUACAGGCUCAUAGGUAGAAGGGACUUGCCUUGUCUCAGAUGAGACUUUUGACUGGAUUUUUGGGUUAAUGCUGAAAUGAGUUAAGAUUUUGGGGGACUGUUGGGAAGGCAUGAUUAGUUUUGAAAAGUGAGGACACGAGAUUUGGAGGGGCCAGGGGCAGAAUGAUGUGGUUUGGCUGUGUCCCCACCCAAAUCUCAACUUGAAUUUUAUCUCCCAGAAUUCCCACAUGUUGUGGGAGGGGUCCAGGGGGAGGUAAUUGAAUCAUGGGGGCCAGGCCUUCCCAUGCUAUUCUUGUGAUAGUGAAUAAGUCUCACGAGAUCUAAUGGGUUUAUCAGGGGUUUCCGCUUUUGCUUCUUCCUCAUUUUUCUCUUGCCACCACCAUAUAAAAAGUGCCUUUCACCUCCUGCCAUGAUUCUGACACCUCCCCAGCCAUGUGGAACUGUAAGUGCAAUUAAACCUCUUUUGGUUCCCAGUUUUGAGUGUGUCUUUAUCAGCAGUGUGAAAAUGAACUAAUAUACCAAGCUAUCACAUCACUGAGUGUGAUGGGCCAUCAGCACUGCUGUGAUGUCCUGCAAAAGUGGAAUUAUUUCUUGACUUGACCUCACUCUUAUGUACUUGAGAAGCUGAGUUCUCUUCUCGCAUGUUCUAAUAAACAAGUCUUAUAAGUCUGGCUCUGGUUAGCCCACAUGUUGAACCUCUUACUUGCAACCCCACUGAUGUGUCUCCCCUAUGCCUGGACAUAAGAGCCUCUCAAUCUCACAUUCAUCCAACAGCAUCUCUAGGUGUAUACUCACUUGUAGCCAAAGUAAAUUUUACACCAUGAUAAAAAUUAGUGUAAAGACUUUACAGGGAACCAAAGUGCCUGGGAAUUCUGAUGAGUAACUACUGAGUGGUUUUUUUUAAUCUCUUUAUUCAAUAGACGUAAAAGUUUAACAAUUGAAGAUUUUAGGUGCCUCGCUUUUACAUUAUGAUUUUUAACUAGUGCAUGCACAAAUAUGCUUUGGCACACAAUACCCUUUCCAGAGCCAUCAAGAUUUAAGUCAUAUUUUUAAGGACAGUGUUAAAAUGUUUACAGGUUUAUGACCCAUAAGUAUCUGGUUUAACUACUCUGUGCUGCAACCAUUUUUAUAAUUAUUUUCUCUUUCACAACUUUUACAGUAAUUUUAUAUUCAUCCUUGGAGAUGCCACAUUGUGUUUUCUUUUGGCUUACUAAGUGGACAUCACAAUCGGUUAAAAAUUUGCCAUUUGUGUGUAUCAGGGCAUAGAAGGUGGAGGAUAAUAGUGGGGGUUGUAAAUGUAUUGGAUAAAUUAUAUGGUACAAUAUGUUAGUGUUCAUUUAUAUCCAUCUAAUAUGAGCUUAUAUGUCACCCAAAGGUAGCCCCAGUUAGGCUGUGAAUACUGUGGCCCAGUAUCAAAGUGAUCGUAAGUUAUUCCUAGAAGAGCGUGUCCCUGCCAAACACAUAUCAGGGCUUCACAGUUUUGACCUUAUUUCAUGUGGUCCCUCUUGCAGCUAGAGUCUGGCACAGAAGGCAGGACUUCCAGCUGGUACUUUAGGUACAUUGGGGCACUAGAGAUAAUGAAUGCACUUGACAUUUACAGUUGGGUCUAAAUUCACAACUGUGUCAGAUAACAAGAGCUGGAUUAACGAGUGGCCAGUAUGCAGAGAUACAGACCAUCUCAAUGGAGACCUCCCUGGAGUAUCAAGACUUACAAAGAGAGAUGAACACAUUGGAAGCCAAGAAUGGUUUAUGGAUUAUAUUUGCUAAAUGUGUGCAAUCCUCAACAGGAAAACCACAGCCAGAAAUUUCCAUCUGAAAGAGAUCAGGAUAUCGUUUCACCCACCAGGUGUACAGAUGAGCAGAAGUAAGACCCACAGAGAUUGUGACUUGUUUGGACAAUCAAUAUCAGAACCAAAAUCUUCUGAUUAAACAGCAAUGCACCUUUUUAACACUUUUUUUCUUCCUAUGCAAACAGAUACAAAAAUGCCUCUUCUCCUUUCCAAUAUAUAUUCUAACUUUCAGUUUGUCCAGUCAAUUCUAAGUUUGUCAAACAGCUUUAAUUACUUUCAAAUACUUGAGGUUUGUCCUGAUACAAAUCAUAUUUAUGAAGAACAUUUUUUAAACUUUACAGAGCUGUUAUAUUUAAGGGAGAGCUAACACAUAUGUUUCUGAUUCAUUACAAUUAACUCAAACUUUUAUUUGCAAUACUUAUUUGAUGCUUAAAUACAUCAUUUUGGCUUCAGUACAGUUUCUCCUAAAAGUAGAUGCCAUUGUUCAUUAAAAUUAAAUUUACCACUAAAAAUCAUCAUUUAGGGCUCAAAACUUCAUAACAUUCUAUUAGAUUUCAAGCUUAACAAAAUUGUUCAUUUUUACUAAAACAAACUUUUCCUCCUUUUACAUUUAUUUUCAACUCCCUAUUUGCUUAUAGAUAAAGCUAUUUCCUUUUACAUUUUCUAAGAAUCCUUUAGACUUUGUAUAUCACAGUUAUUUAAAUGGCUUUUGUUGUCAAAAAGGAAAGAAGAAGGAGGAAAAAAUUUGCUGAUUUUUUUCUAAAAAAUAAUAACAAGCCUUUAAAUGAAUACCUCUUUUCACCGUUCAGACAUGACUGAACUUGGCAUUAAACCUGUUCUUAAUUCAACCCAUCUGUUCAGUGCCCACUACUUUAUUUUUAGUGCCACCCUUUAAAACUGCCUGAAAUACUUCAUAGUAAAAAUUAUCAAAGAACAUGCCACUCUCAACAUAACAAACACAUAUAUGUUCACCAAUGAACCACCCUUUCUGACAUGGUGGUAUUUAUCUCAUGUCUCUCUAAUACCAAAUACAUCUUUUGAAAAAAAUUCUCAACUUAGGCAGUUUAAACCACUAAUCAUGUGGUUUUAUUCAGUGUGGCAUUUGAGUUUAAAUCAUUAAUUUAGUAUAGUGCCAAGUAUAUACACUGGAUUUUUUAAGUUACUGGCAAUAAACGGAAGAUGGCUGCAUAUUUUAUUAAUGUCUGAAAUUGUGGUGGCAAUGAAAACAAAUGACCUCAUGUAAUUCCUCAAAUGGCAUAGAUGGGAUUGUUGAUGGUGGACUGCAUUUAGUUGAAGUUCAGGCUUUGCCACUGUCUUCAGACCCACGGACAUCCUUGUGCUGGAGUGAGAAGCCACACCACAGCUACAGAGCGACGUGGAGGGCACUGUGGUGAACCCAGGACAACAACCAACAGACUUUGCCUGGGACAUGCCCAAGCUUCUCCUGAGGAUCCUCUGCUUUCCAAAACAGCCCUGAGAGUUUCUCAGAAAAACCUGAUUGUGCUGCUUGGAACUACAGUUUCAGUCUCUGUAUAGUUCGGAACUAGAGUUUCCUAUUUCACCAAGAAUUCUUGGUAUUUAUUAUUAAAGCCAAAAAUCAGUUUCCCAUACUUUAAAACUUUUUAUUUUACACGAGCUGUACAUCAAAGAUACACGACCAUUUUUUAUGAGAAUUCUGUAGUUUUAACUUCUGGGAUAACAUGUUUUAUGCAUAAUCUUUUUUUUAAAUAGGACUUUCAUUGCGAGUAAGAAUUUGAAAGCAUUGGUGGGGUUGGAGAAAGCAAAAACUUGUGCAGGUAGGUGCAUAAUCCAUUGUUUUUCUAGUUUUCGUUAUAAUUUUAAGCAUAAUGAUUGCUAUUAUCAGAGGCAGUAUAGUAGAGAUAGUAUAAAGUCUUCAGAGCUGCAGGUGACUUCAGAAAGCAUGUAGUUUAAUCCCUUCCUGCACAGGGACAGCCUUGCAAGGUUGAGCAAUUUCCCUCAGCACUGGCAGAUAGCAAAACUAGAAAAGUACUCAGCAUACUGAAUCCAAGUCCAUUGUUUUUUUCCACUCCACUAUCUGGACUGGGAUUGAGAAAAUGUGAUCUUAGCUUUCCACCGACAUUAUGACCUUUCUAAGCCUCCAUCUCCCCAUAUUUGAAAUGACGGGGGGUUAGACUGCAUGAUUUCUAAGGUUCUUUCCAACGCUAGAAUGCUAUGUGUUCUAGCCAGACAGUUGCAUAUUUUUCAUUUAUGGAAGACAUCUAUUUUGAAAAAAUGCAAAAUUCUCUAUUUUGUCUUCUCCUUUUUGAAUGAUGGGUAUAAUUAAAUAAGAUAAUGUGUGUAAAGACAUAAAAAUGCCUGAUACCCAAUAAAUGGUAGCUUUUAAUAUUCUCAUCUAUUCCAAGGAGGCAGGGAUAUUUUCAUUUCUUUGCCAAAAUUUCUUCUGUG
rnacentral:lncRNA from 1 species